UACAGAGGGUGCAAGCGUUAAUCGGAGUUACUGGGCGUAAAGGGCGCGUAGGUGGUUUAAUGUGAGGUAUGUGAAAGCCCCGAGCUUAACUUGGGAAGUGCAUAGCUAACUAUUGAACUAGAGUAUAUGAGAGGGUGGUGGAAUUUCCGGUGUAGCGGUGAAAUGCGUAGAGAUCGGAAGGAACGUCAAUGGCGAAGGCAGCCACCUGGCAUAAUACUGACACUGAAGCGCGAAAGCGUGGGGAGCGAACAGG
rnacentral:rRNA from 1 species